UACGUAGGGGGCAAGCGUUGUCCGGAAUCAUUGGGCGUAAAGAGCGUGUAGGCGGUCCGGUAAGUCGGCUGUGAAAGUCCAGGGCUCAACCCUGGGAUGCCGGUCGAUACUGCCGGACUAGAGUUCGGAAGAGGCGAGUGGAAUUCCCGGUGUAGCGGUGAAAUGCGCAGAUAUCAGGAAGAACACCGAUGGCGAAAGCAGCUCUCUGGGACGGUACUGACGCUGAGGCGCGAAAGCGUGGGGAGCGAACAGG
rnacentral:rRNA from 1 species